GGCGAAGGAUCCAAGCGUUAUCCGGAUUCAUUGGGUUUAAAGGGUGCGUAGGCGGCCCGGUAAGUCAGUGGUGAAAUCUCCUUGCUUAACAAGGAAACUGCCAUUGAUACUGCUGGGCUUGAGUACAGAUGCUGUGGGCGGAAUAUGACAUGUAGUGGUGAAAUACAUAGAGAUGUCAUAGAACACCGAUUGCGAAGGCAGCUCACAAAACUGUAACUGACGCUGAGGCACGAAAGUGCGGGGAUCAAACAGG
rnacentral:rRNA from 1 species